CACUCCUGCGGGAGGCAGCAGUGGGGAAUAUUGGACCAUGGGCGCAAGCCUGAUCCAGCCAUGCCGCGUGAGUGAUGAAGGCCCUAGGGUUGUAAAGCUCUUUCACCGGUGAAGAUAAUGACGGUAACCGGAGAAGAAGCCCCGGCUAACUUCGUGCCAGCAGCCGCGGUAAUACGAAGGGGGCUAGCGUUGUUCGGAUUUACUGGGCGUAAAGCGCACGUAGGCGGACUAUUAAGUCAGGGGUGAAAUCCCGGGGCUCAACCCCGGAACUGCCUUUGAUACUGGUAGUCUUGAGUUCGAGAGAGGUGAGUGGAAUUCCGAGUGUAGAGGUGAAAUUCGUAGAUAUUCGGAGGAACACCAGUGGCGAAGGCGGUUCACUGGCUCGAUACUGACGCUGAGGUGCGAAAGCGUGGGGAGCAAACAGGAUUAGAAACCCGAGUAGUCCCAUG
rnacentral:rRNA from 1 species